rnacentral:rRNA from 1 species
GGCGUGCCUAACACAUGCAAGUCGAGCGGAGAUAAGAGGAGUACUUGUACAAAUUUUAUUUCAGCGGCGGACGGGUGAGUAACACGUGAGUAACCUGCCUUUCACUGGGGAAUAACAUCGAGAAAUCGGUGCUAAUACCGCAUAACGUCACGAGACCGCAUGGCCUUGUGACCAAAGGAGUAAUCCGGUGAAAGAUGGACUCGCGUCCGAUUAGAUAGUUGGUGAGGUAAUGGCUCACCAAGUCUGCGAUCGGUAGCCGAACUGAGAGGUUGAUCGGCCACAUUGGGACUGAGACACGGCCCAGACUCCUACGGGAGGCAGCAGUGGGGAAUAUUGGGCAAUGGGCGAAAGCCUGACCCAGCAACGCCGCGUGAAGGAAGAAGGUCUUCGGAUUGUAAACUUCUUUGAUCAGGGACGAAUAAAUGACGGUACCUGAAGAACAAGCCACGGCUAACUACGUGCCAGCAGCCGCGGUAAUACGUAGGUGGCAAGCGUCAUCCGGAUUUACUGGGUGUAAAGGGCGUGUAGGCGGCUCCGCAAGUCAGAUGUGAAAUACCCAGGCUUAACCUGGGCGCUGCAUCUGAAACUGCGGAACUUGAGUACUGGAGAGGAUAGUGGAAUCCUAG